rnacentral:rRNA from 1 species
CGCUCUUUGGGGGAUAUAUUAAUAUAAUGAUAUAAAGAGUCGGACCUGCCCGGUGACAUACUGUGUUAAACGGCCGCGGUACCCUGACCGUGCAAAGGUAGCAUAAUCAUUUGCCUUUUAAUUGGAGGCUAGUAUGAAUGGUUUGACGAGAGCUAAGCUGUCUCCUUUUAAAUAUUUAGAAAUUAAUUUGUAGGUGAAGAGGCCUACAUGGAUUUGAGGGACAAGAAGACCCUGUUGAGUUUGAAUGAAAGUAUAAACGAAUUAUUUUAUUAGGCCGUUAGGCAGAUAAAUGAAUUAUAUAGAUAUAAAUUGGGUUUUUAUUUAAUUUUUGGUUGGGGCGACUGAGGAGCAUAAGAAGCAUCCUUUAGAAUAAUAUUAUGGUUAGUAAGCCAGUUUGAUCCAAUUUUUAUUGAUUAGAGGAAAAAAUUACCACAGGGAUAACAGCGUAAUCUUCUUGGAGAGUUCUUAUUGAAAAGAGGGUUUGCGACCUCGAUGUUGGACUAAGGUAUCCUAGGGGCGUAGAAGCUUCUGAUGGUUGGUCUGUUCGACCAUUAAAACCUU